GUCAGAACCAACAUGGAAGCAGAGGAAGACACAUGGCCCUAAAUUAACCUUAUUUUUCAUGUGGUCCAAGAGGUGCACAUGAAUCAUCCUUAUGAACUGCCUCCGGACCAUCUCUAAUGCCAGCACAUCUUUUCGACAAGGAGCCCGAAACUGUUCACAAUACUCAAGACAAUCAAGAGCUUGAAGAGUGAAAAGAAUAAGCUGAUGUAAUUUAACACAAUGAACCUCCAGCUCAGCUAAUAUUCUCUGUUGCUGGCAAUGCGAACAUCGACUGAUCAUCCCUAAUUUCAUCUCAUCUGAGGCAGCAGUUGGGAAUUAGUGCGUCUGGAGCACAAACAGUACCAGCGAUCACCGAUGGGGAUUGAUUCCUGCUACUGCCUAUAAGAAGAUGUAAUCACCCUGUGACCAUGUGAGUUUCCUCUCUCAUUCCCAAGAUGUACAAGUUGGGGUUAGUGAGUUGUGGCAUUCUAUGAUGGCACGGAGAGUGUGGCAACACUUGCAGGCUGCCCCAGCACAAUUCUCAGUUAGCUGGUCGCUGAUACAAAAUGGCGUGCUUCAUUGUAUGUUUUGAUAUACAUGUAACAAAUAAAGCUAAUCUCAUCAGAAUCAAAUAUUUUUAUAGCACCACUGUUUUUACCAAUUCACUUGAUAUUGUAUAGUUUAAGUGAGCCACAGGUUCGUCAUCAUCAGUUAAAGU